UUGAGCUUGAUUCCUGGCUCAGGACGAACGCUGGCGGCGUGCCUAAUACAUGCAAGUCGAACGCUUUUUCUUUCACCGGAGCUUGCUCCACCGAAAGAAAAAGAGUGGCGAACGGGUGAGUAACACGUGGGUAACCUGCCCAUCAGAAGGGGAUAACACUUGGAAACAGGUGCUAAUACCGUAUAACACUAUUUUCCGCAUGGAAGAAAGUUGAAAGGCGCUUUUGCGUCACUGAUGGAUGGACCCGCGGUGCAUUAGCUAGUUGGUGAGGUAACGGCUCACCAAGGCAACGAUGCAUAGCCGACCUGAGAGGGUGAUCGGCCACACUGGGACUGAGACACGGCCCAGACUCCUACGGGAGGCAGCAGUAGGGAAUCUUCGGCAAUGGACGAAAGUCUGACCGAGCAACGCCGCGUGAGUGAAGAAGGUUUUCGGAUCGUAAAACUCUGUUGUUAGAGAAGAACAAGGAUGAGAGUAGAACGUUCAUCCCUUGACGGUAUCUAACCAGAAGCCCG
rnacentral:rRNA from 1 species